CAGCAACCGACUAGUGACCAACUGCAGACGGAAGACCUAGAGAGAAACUGGAGGAAGAGCCCGAAGGGUGAAAGCAUUUGUAAGAGUCGAUGAUAAAAAAUAGCUUACAAAUCCACCAAGGAUUCAAGAGAAAGAAUCCAAGGAGCUAAAGAAAAUCUCACUUUAGACCCCUGAGGAACUCGAUUGAAGAAA
rnacentral:sRNA from 10 species